UCCUCUUGGUUUCCUUUUGUUGACUUAUUGCUUGUUAGAACUUCAAGGACUAUACUGAAUAGAUUGGAAGAGAGUGGACAGCCUUUUCUUGUCCCUGAUAUAGUAGGAUUGCUUUAAGUUUCUCUCUAUUUAAUUUGAUAUUGGCUGUUGGUUUGUGGCGGUAUAUUGCUUUUCUUAUGUUUAGCUGAACAGCAUUCCAUGGUGAACAUGUACAACAUUUUUAUUGUCCAUUCGAUGAUUAAAGGGCAUUUCUAUUUCCUAGCUAUUGUGAAUAAAGCAGCAUUGAACGUGACUGAGCACUUUGGAUAGGAUGUCAAGUAAGUCCCUUAGGCAUAUGUUAAGAAGUGCUUGGGGCUGGAGAGACAGCCCAGUGGUUAAGAGUGCUCACUGCUCUAGCAGAGGACCCAGGUUUCAUUCCCAACACCCACACUGUAUCUCACAAUUGCUGUAACUUCAGUUCCAGGGCAUCUGACAUUCUCUUCUGGUCUCCACUGGCCACAUGCACGAAGUAAAUAUCAACACACACACACACACACACACACACACACACACACACACACACACUAAAUACAUCCUUUAAAAAAAAAGAAAGUGCUACCAGUGAGUCAUCUGAUAGCUUCAUUUCUAGACUUUCGGUGAUUCUCCACAUUGAUUUACAGAUCUGCAAUACCAUCAACAUGAAUGAGGGCUCCCUUUUCCCCUACACCCCUUCCAGCAUUUGAUGUCAGCUGUUUGGAUUAUCUUUUUCCAUUGUGAUAGGGGUAAGAUGAAAUCUCCAAGGUGUUUUAAUUUUCAUUUCCUAAUUGCUAGGGAUGAUUGGAAAAUUUUUGAGAGCCUUUUCCUCCCGUUGCUUUUGAGAGCUCUCUGAUAGGUGCCAGGCCCAUUUUCUUAAUGAACCACUUGGUUUUUUAUUUUUUAAUUUAUUGUUUGUUUGUUUUAUUUGUUUUUAAGCUCUUUAUGCAUUCUAGCUAAUCCUCUGUCAGAUAGAGAGCUGACCAAGAUUCUGUCCCAUUCCGCGGGUUUCCUCUUUAUUGGGUUGAUUGUUCUUUAUCUGUGCAGAACUUUGUAGAUUUAUGAAGUCCCACUUGUCAAUUAUUGGCCUUAGAUCUUGGGCAAAGGGAGUCCUAGUCAGAAAGCCCAUUUCCAUGUCUGUAUCUGCUUAUGAUUCCUUUAGUUUCAAUGUUUCAGGUUUCACAUUUAGGUCUUUGAUUUAUUUGGAGACUUUGUGCAGUGAUAGAUACAGAUCUAACUUUAUUUUUCUGCAUAUGGAUAUCCAGUUUCCCCAGCACAAUUUGUUAAAGAUUUUGUCUGUUUAUAGGUUAUGUUUAGCAACUUUGUCAGAUAUUAAACAGCUGACGUUACAUGUAUUCGUUUUGGGAUUUUGAUCUUAUUCCAUUGGUCUACACAUCUAGUUUUGUGUACCAUAUUGUUUUUAUUCCUAUGGUUGUAUAAUAUAUCUUAAUAUUGGGAAUGAGAAACACAGGUGAUGGGAGAAACUCAAAUCUGUAAGCUGACUCUAUCUUGAGCCUGCUUGUCCACCUUUUGAACCCUGAUUAAUAAAAAUACCAGGAAGAAACUGCCCUGAACCCGAGCCAAAGAAAAAGUGCCUAAAAUUACAGAGGUUAUAGAUCUCUUGCUCAAAGUGUCCGAAGUCAUCACUGACCAAUCCCUGUGCACCCAGGAUACCCCUUGCCAAAUAAGGUAACUGCUAGGCUAGACAUCCUCCCCGCAAUUCCCUGCUUAAACUAAUAUAAAUCCCUGCCUAUUUGAGGCUUCUGGCUCUCAGCACUGAUCUGCUCCAUUGGAGGAGUCUGGGGGUCCAGGCUUAAGUUCUUUGCUUUUGCAUACAUAUUUGAACUCCUGGUGGUUUUUGGGAACCAUGAAAACUGGGUGCAACAGGAAUGGUAAACCUCCAGCAUUGUUGUUCUUGUUCAGGAUUGUUUUGGCUAUCUGAGGUCUUUUGUAACUCUACAGUCAGCCUGUGUCUUUGGAUCAGAGAAUUGAAGACAAUUGUCAUAGUUGAUGUUCUAUUGCUGUGAAGAGACAAGAUGGAACUCUCAUAAAGGCAAACGUUUAGUUGGGGUGGACUUAGCGGUUCAGAGGUUUAGUCCAUUAUCAUCAUGGUGGGAACUGUGGCAGCAGGCAGACAAACAUGAGGCUGGAGAAGGAGAGAGAGUUCUAAAUCUGGAUCAGCAGGCAGCAGGAAGAGAGAGACAGACGUGUUGUGCCUCCUUUGCAAGCCCCCAAAGCCAACCAGGAACCGACUCUGGUACAAUCACAUUACAGUCUCUUUAUUACAGUUACAUCAGGGUCAAAUUCCACUGACCCACGGGACAGUUUGGUGAAGCUCUCAGCGGAACAAGGUUUUAUAAGAAAUGGGAGCGAGUGAGAGGGUGUCCAUUCUGGCAAGCAUCUAAUGAAUGACUAUUGUAAGCCAACCGGUGGGUGCUCUGAAGCAAGAUCGUAUGUAAUCACAAAUGGUCUGAAAGUACAUCUGGAACGAUCAGACUCAUCUUUGAUUAUCUGUUGCUAGGAAGUAGCUAGAGAAUAACUCUGGCCAGGGACAAACUCUGAGGUUCUUCCUGAUACUUGGGUGCUAUUUCGGUUCAGCGGCCAGUUCGUUUAUGUUUUUGUUUUUUUUGUUUUUGUUUUUGUUUUUUUUAAAUGGAGCGUGGUCCCAAGCUGGAGUAGGUAUUUAAAACCUCAGAGCUCACCCUUGUUACAGGAUAUUUGAUUAUUGUACAUAGAAAACCGAAUUGUUAACAAAAUAUAAAGCUUAAACAGAUGAAAGAUGCAGUUAAGCAUGUCCUGAAGAGAAGCAGUUGAGGUGUGCCUCUAAAAGCCUCCAUAUAUAAGAAUGCUAAAGAAUGAAACGUUCUGGGCGACUCCCAUCUGUAAUGAGAUCUGUUGCCCUCUUCUGGUGUGAAUAAUUCUAAAAAAAGAAAGAUAUCAUGUGGAUUUCAAUUGCAUUAAAAAGAAUGAAAAGUUCCUGCCCAAGGUAAGGUGCUUGGGAGAAGUCCUGUCUAUGAUCUAAGGCAAAGUCAGUUGGAUAGCCUUGAGCUACCCCACUGUAAACUUGAAAUGGUUCAUCCUUACUUGGCUUGGAGUCCUGUGCCCCAUGAUGGUGACAUGGUUUAGCCUGCCAAAGGUGUAGGCAAGCUAGAGAUUUCUUUGAUAAGCAAUUAGUUUGGCUUGGAAAAGCCUUCAUGGAAGAGAUAGGGGUUUUCUCUUUGGGCUUUCAGGAACAAUAGAGAAGCAGCUGGCUGGACACAGGUCUAGGAAAGAGAGCUAAGGAGCCCUCUUAGGUUUGGAGGAGCUCAAGGACAAUGUGACUAGCUAGCUCAGUAGGACGAUAGCUAGCAGUUCAGUUGUAGCAUCAUCGGGCUUACAGAAGAUAUUUUAUAUAUAGUUAAGAAAACACGGGGUUGGGGAUUUAGCUCAGUGGUGGAGCGCUUGCCUAGGAAGCGCAAGGCCCUGGGUUCAGUCCCCAGCUCUGAAAAAAAGAACCAAAAGAAAAAAGAAAA